rnacentral:lncRNA from 1 species
UGAUCUUUAAUUCUGUUUAGCCAUCUUAGUAGAAGGUGGCUUUAAAGCAGAGUCCCUCAAAAUAUUUUUCUUUUUUCUUUCCAGACAUCAUCUGCAAAUAGUUACUCAGAUGUGUGGGCUUUUCUCUGGAGAGAGCAGUGGGAAAUGAACUAUGGAUUCCUACUCUGUCAUCUUCAGUGUGUGCAUUAGGUGGUGGUGGUGGAAAGGCUGACAGAAACUAUAUUUAAUAAAGUAUCAGGUGAUUCAUUUGGCUCAGAGAAGGAAUAGAUGUUAAUAGUGCCAUUCCUAAACAAGUUUAGAUCUUUCUAUUUCACCACAUUUGGCAGGUCUGUUUGGAUGAUGCCUAAUACAGACUUCAGCCUGAGUGCAACCUAAAUGGCUGAGAUCAGGUUUAUUUCAGCAAUCUGCACUGGAGGACCCUGCUGCUUGAUAAUAGCGUUGGCUUCUGUCUCAGGGACUUUCCUGUUUCUGCAGCUGCUUCUGCUUCUUUUUGGAAGUGCACUUUUUUUUUCCCCUGGACGUGGACCUUGCUGUGCUUCUGCACCUGGAGCUUGUGUUUCUGCAGAGAACAGUCCAUAAGACCAUGCCCAGGGAUCAAAAGGCAGCUUUCCCAUGUGAGCACAGAACACCCACUGGCAAGAGGAACUGGAUUAUGGGAUCUAAUCUUCUUGCCGUUGGCAGCAGUGUGUGGAGGUCUCUGAAUGAGAUUCAUGCCUGCGCUUCCAUCCCUCAGAAGCAGACAACAUCUUGUCAUUUUAGUUGCAAGAUCCUCCUUGAAGGGAUACCUCCAAGCAGAAGAAAUCCCACCACUGUAUGCAUAUGACAAACUAUCAAUGAACUAUGAAAAAAAAAAAAGCAUAAUGUAGCAAUGCAAAAUACUGUUUGAUUGAGAUUACUGUUGUUUAAAAAAGACCUGAAAAUACCAGCAGGAAGGGUUUAUGAUUCUGCUCCCUUCUGCAUUUUUUUUCUGGUCUUUCAUCAUGCAACACUUACAGCCUAUAAUUAAACCAGCUUGCUGCUAUUUGCAUUUUCAUGAAAGGAGCCUCUCCUAACAUACCUCUCUUAAAUCUCCUAUUUGAUAUCGAGCGAAAUUUAAUUUCAAGGCUUUACUCUUUGCAGAUCAUUUAACUCUUAAUGGCUUUUCAUCCUAAAUCUAUCUCUGCUUCUGUCUGAGCAUAUGUGUCUCCCUCCUCAUCUCUCUUCCUCAUUAUUUGUUCACCUUUAAGCCAUUCCAGAGCUAUUGGAAAGACAGAUUGCAAAGACAGAAGCCUGAAUUUUGCUAUUAUGCUCUACAACACUGGCAUAAGUUCCUACACAUUCCUAUCAGAAAUAUUUCUGGAACUGAAAACCCAGCAAGGGAAAAAAUGAGCUCUAGGCUGCUUAUUAGUUAAAUAGUUCUGUAUGGCACUAUUUGCAUAUGGGAGUCAUAUUUAUGGAUUUAGCUGAACAGUCAAAGAAUAGUGCUUUGCACAAUAUUCUUGGAAGUGCUUAACUUAAGGUCAUACAUAAAACUAAAAUACAGUUUAUAUGCUCAGUUCUAGGUCCUUUGUGUAAGGCAUCCCUUAGAAAAGUAAUAGUCAGCAGCAAAGCAUGUCUAGCAAGUGGAAUUUUCUGUUGAUUCUCUCAUUCCCUUCCCUAUCUUUCCUUUUCCUGACAGAAACAGAUGGAAUUUUAUUUUCUCACAAUUACUAUGAACUGAGACUAACAGCUCUUAAAUUAGCAGUGAGGGGGUGGAAAGGUGUGGAAAGCAAUAAAAACAUGCAAACCCUCUGUAACA